GCAAGUUUGUUGAUUGGAUCCAUGGGUCAGACAAUGACCCAAAGAACUGUGACCUCCCAAAAGAGCAGUGGGAAUCAGCGGUAGCACUCAAGGAGGCUCUCCAGAGGGUUGGCUAUUACCGUGGAGCGCCUUUGAAGGGCCCCAAGUAUGACAUAAGUAUAUUUGACCGCGACCGUCGUUGCUACGUGGAUGCGGAAGGUAAACCUCUGGAGGGCGUGGAUAGGAGGUGAACCUCUGGAGGGUAAGGGAAAGGGUUGAGGAUUAGUGUAUGGAUAAAGAAGUCAGUUCCCAUGAAAAAUAUGCCUAGCCUGUUGCAGUUAGAGAUCAUGGAGAGUAAUCACCGGCAAAUGGAAGCCUAGCUAGCGAAGGCAGUAGCUUAACAAAAAUGUGCUAUGAACCCUGCACUCAUCGAACCUUGUGUUAACACAAUCUUGACAACUGCUUAAGCCA